UACGUAGGGGGCAAGCGUUGUCCGGAUUUACUGGGCGUAAAGAGCGUGUAGGCGGCCAGGUAGGUCGGUUGUGAAAACUGGAGGCUCAACCUUCAGACGUCGACCGAAACCAUCUGGCUAGAGUCCGGGAGAGGAGAGUGGAAUUCCUGGUGUAGCGGUGAAAUGCGCAGAUAUCAGGAAGAACACCCGUGGCGAAAGCGGCUCUCUAGAACGGUACUGACACUGAGACGCGAAAGCGUGGGGAGCGAACAGG
rnacentral:rRNA from 1 species